rnacentral:rRNA from 1 species
AGAACGAACGCUGGCGGCAUGCCUAACACAUGCAAGUCGAACGCUUUUGGGGCUUCGGUCCCAAAGGAGUGGCGCACGGGUGAGUAGCGCGUGGGAACCUGCCCUGUUGUGGGGGAUAACCGAGGGAAACUUCGGCUAAUACCGCAUACGCCCGGGGGAAACUCCGGGGAAAGAUUUAUCGCAGCAGGAGGGGCCCGCGUCGGAUUAGGUAGUUGGUGGGGUAACGGCCCACCAAGCCUGUGAUCCGUAGCUGGUCUGAGAGGAUGAUCAGCCACACUGGGACUGAGACACGGCCCAGACUCCUACGGGAGGCAGCAGUGGGGAAUAUUGGACAAUGGGCGCAAGCCUGAUCCAGCAAUGCCGCGUGAGUGAUGAAGGCCUUCGGGUUGUAAAGCCCUUUCGGCGGGGACGAUGAUGACGGUACCCGCAGAAGAAGCCCGGCUAACUUCGUGCCAGCAGCCGC